GGAGCGGAGCCGCUCGCGCGGCGGGGAAGCGGGGCUGCCCUGCCCAGAGCGGGUCCCCCAGCGCGGCUGGCUGCCGGCGAGGGCGGCCCAGGCAGCGGGAGGCGGCGGCUGCUCGCGCACCGCGGACGCCAGGCCGGAGCACCUGAAGCGCCGCUCCCGGCCGCCCGGGGCAGCCCCGCUGCCCGGGGGCGCUCGCACCGGCCGGGGAAGGCGCCGGCCGCCAGGUGCCGCGGGCAGGCCGGGAAGGCGGCGGGGCGCCCGGGCGCGGAAGGGGACGGCGUUACCUGCGGCAGCGGCAGAAGGUUGCAAUUCGUUACAGAGGUACACCGGUGUGCUUGUUCUGCGCAAUUACAAACCUCACAACGUCACAAAAUGAACAAUAUGGCACCUUUGAGCAUACAGCGUCAGGAGUAUUCACAACGUGUAGCGUUUUCAAAGAACUGUGCGACCCUUUCACUCCCUAAGCUGUUAAAAUUCAUGAACUGGAUGUUUUGUCCAUUUGUAACGUGACAAAAAUUAAUUACCGAGGAGGCUGAAUAGCUCGCUCCAGGCCGCGCGGCACGGCAUGGGCGAGCCAUGAGCUGCGCUGCCCCGGCACAGUGCUCCGUCUGUUCUGUGUCUCUUUGGGCUUGGCUGUAGAGAAAUGUGACAAAUAACAAUAUUUAUUAUCUGAUCCUGACCUAGCAAGCAGAAGCGUGCUGCAUCACUGGGAAAUUGGCACCAGACUCUGAAAGAUGUAAUCGCCAAUUCUGGUAAAAAAUAAAUAAAGAAGCAGA